rnacentral:rRNA from 1 species
AGCAGCCGCGGUAAUUCCAGCUCCAAUAGCGUAUAUUAAAGUUGUUGCAGUUAAAAAGCUCGUAGUUGAAUUUCGGGACCAAUUUAUCGGUCGUGCCUAUGGUAUGAGCUGGUACAAUUGGUUUCUCCCUUCUGACGAAGCAUGAUGUCAUUAAUUUGGUGUCGUGGGGAAUCAGGACUGUUACUUUGAAAAAAUUAGAGUGUUUAAAGCAAGCAUUAGCUUGAAUACAUUAGCAUGGAAUAAUGAAAUAGGACGUUUGAUCCUAUUUCGUUGGUUUCUAGGAUCGACGUAAUGAUUAAUAGGGAUAGUUGGGGGCAUUAGUAUUCAAUUGUCAGAGGUGAAAUUCUUGGAUUUAUUGAAGACUAACUACUGCGAAAGCAUUUGCCAAGGAUGUUUUCAUUAAUCAAGAACGAAAGUUAGGGGAUCGAAGACGAUCAGAUACCGUCGUAGUCUUAACCAUAAACUAUGCCGACUAGGGAUCGGAUGAUGUUAAUUUUUUAAUGACUCA